rnacentral:hammerhead_ribozyme from 1 species
AUCCGGCUGACGAGUCCCAAACAGGACGGAACGCGCGUCCUGGAU